CACAGCACAACGGGGUGGACUUGGCCAGACUUGCACUCCUCCUCUGCCUGUGGUGAUGCCAGGGGGCAGAGUCCUGUCUGCCAAGGAACAAAGAGUGCCUCCCUUUCAUUUCGGUCAUCUUAGGAUUUUCUCUCCCGAAUGGCUGCCGCCUCUUGCUCCAGUGCAUCAAUAUGGGGUCUUCUUCCUUGAAGUGAACUUGAUAUUUCUCACAUGGAGAGAAGCGAUGCUGGGACACACUUAGGAGGUCCUCCUUCCUGGAAGGCCCACAGCCACGCUGCAGGAACU
rnacentral:lncRNA from 1 species